CUACUGCCGGCCAUUUGCAAAAGCCAUCGCGGUCUCGUGUAAAUUGUUGAUAUUCUCCUGUAUUCACCAUUGACUGUGAUGUUUUCUUAGAGAAGGAAGGAGUGAAGAGUGACAAUUAUCAUCGUAAAGUGAAGCCCUCAUUUGUUUGUUAUGGCACCCAAAUCAUGGCCGCCUACAGUUCAUUGGCGUAACGUUAAAACGGCAAUCAAAGCCUCCGCAAUAUUGCACAUACCAUCCUCCGACACUCCAUUUUCGAGAUAUUUACAUCGACAAUAGAUAUGUCUCAUCCAGAUGUUCCACACGCCUUCAAUGAGAACUCUCGUCCGACACUUCGUUUUAGGAGCGAUUCAUUUCGACCUCACCAGAGUUCAGGCUAUCCUUUAAGCCUUUGUAAGUACUCUGCUCCGACACAUUGUUUUCUAAAUAAUCAGACGUAAAGUUUUGACUCGCCAAGGGUGUUCCUUCCAGACCUUCCAGUCACCCUACCCUCCACUGAUACUCUGUUUUCGAGACAGAAGCAACUAUAACCGACCGUGAUAAGGGAUUGAAGAGGAGAGAUGCGGUGAUAAUUCCUUUGGUUGUAGAAAAAAUGGUCAGCACAGCAUGGAACAUUAACAACGACGUCAAAGCAUUUA